rnacentral:rRNA from 1 species
CAGCAGCCACGGUAAUACGUAGGUGGCAAGCGUUGUCCGGAAUUAUUGGGCGUAAAGGGCUCGCAGGCGGUUUCUUAAGUCUGAUGUGAAAGCCCCCGGCUCAACCGGGGAGGGUCAUUGGAAACUGGGAAACUUGAGUGCAGAAGAGGAGAGUGGAAUUCCACGUGUAGCGGUGAAAUGCGUGGAGAUGUGGAGGAGCACCAGUGGCGAAGGCGACUCUCUGGUCUGUAACUGACGCUGAGGAGCGAAAGCGUGGGGAGCGAACAGGAUUAGAUACCCCUGUAGUCCCUGUCUCUUAUAC